rnacentral:rRNA from 1 species
UACGUAAGGGGCAAGCGUUGUCCGGAAUCACUGGGCGUAAAGCGCACGUAGCGGUUUGCCAAGUUGGGGGUGUAAGCUCUAGGCCUAACCUAGAAAUUGCCUCCAAAACUAGCAUACUUGAGUAUUAGAGGGGAAGCUGGAAUUCACGGUGUAGCGGUGAAAUGCGUAGAUAUCGUGGAGAACACCCGUGGCGAAGGCGGGCUUCUGGCUAAUUACUGACGCUGAGGUGCGAAAGCUAGGGGAGCGAA